rnacentral:rRNA from 1 species
AUUAAACGCUGGCGGCAUGCCUUACACAUGCAAGUCGAACGGCAGCACGGGGGCAACCUUGGUGGCGAGUGGCGAACGGGUGAGUAAAGCAUCGGAACGUGCCCUGGAGUGGGGGAUAACGUAGCGAAAGUUACGCUAAUACCGCAUAUUCUGUGAGCAGGAAAGCAGGGGAUCGCAAGACCUUGCGCUCUGGGAGCGGCCGAUGUCGGAUUAGCUAGUUGGUGGGGUAAAGGCCUACCAAGGCAACGAUCCGUAGCGGGUCUGAGAGGAUGAUCCGCCACACUGGGACUGAGACACGGCCCAGACUCCUACGGGAGGCAGCAGUGGGGAAUUUUUGGACAAUGGGCGCAAGCCUGAUCCAGCCAUGCCGCGUGAGUGAAGAAGGCCUCGGUUGGUAAGUACGUACGUUCGUCCGGGUACGGAAACGUACGUACCGAA